AAGUCGUAACAAGGUUUCCGUAGGUGAACCUGCGGAAGGAUCAUUAUUGAAUCCAAAGGAUGUUGCUGGCCUUUCGGGGCAUGUGCACUCCACCUUUUCAAUACACCUGUGAACAUAUUGUAGGCGCAGAUGUAAAAAGUCUGUUGCCUAUGUUUUUAAUACACCCUUAAAAAAGUCUAUUGAAUGUCUAAUUGUGGCCUUUGAUGGUCAACAAACUUAAUACAACUUUCAACAAUGGAUCUCUUGGUUCUCGCAUCGAUGAAGAACGCAGCGAAUUGCGAUAUGUAAUGUGAAUUGCAGAAUUCAGUGAAUCAUCGAAUCUUUGAACGCACCUUGCACCCUUUGGUAUUCCGAAGGGUAUGCCUGUUUGAGUGUCAUUAAAUUCUCAACUUCAAAAGGGUUUGUGCUUUUUUGAAGCUUGGACUAUGGGAGCUUGCUGGUAUCACUAUCAGCUCUUCUUAAAUGCAUUAGCGGAACUGUGAAGGACCAGCUUUGGUUUGAUAAUCCUAUCUAUGCCGUUGCUGUGGACUUGUGUGUUCAGCUUCUAAUUGUCUUCGGACUGCCUUCCAGGCAUACACUUUUAAGCUUGACCUCAAAUCAGGUAGGACUACCCGCUGAACUUAAGCAUAUCAUAGC
rnacentral:rRNA from 1 species